GAGAUGUUAGUAAAAUAUUAUAUAACUUUGUCAGGGUUAAGUUACAGGUGAAAACCCCGUACAUCUCA
rnacentral:tRNA from 2 species